AAUAUUUUUGGAUGUUUUAAUUCGAUAUUUUUCAAAUAAAUCCGUCAAUCGUUCGAUGUCUGUCCUUCGGCAAAGAUCGUGUCAUGUUGGGGUACGGAGAGGUCCGAACAAGCGUUAGGGUUAACAGUAUGUUCCUAUUUUGAGAGCGUCUAUUUUCCUAUUUUCAUGGAAUCAUGUUUGAGAUCUGGGAGUUUUUUCAUCAUGUGGUGUUCAUAUCAGGAAUAUAUGGAAUAUCAACCACAAUGACACCAACUCCAGUACUGCUCCAACAAUCUCCCGAAAUAUUAUCACAAGCAGAUUACUCCUUCAAGAAUGAUUGGGAAUCUUAGACUGUAUCGAUCGAGCCCUGCAUUAAACAAUCGGAACCGAGCAAGUCAAAUUGAGGUGGAUGUGAAGCCCUUAUGACUGGACAUGUUCGAGUCAGAGAAAAGGAUUUAAAGGCUGGGAUGGGCAUAAGUGGGUCCCAGAGGAAGCUGAUCAAACUUGGACUUCGAACGAGAAGGACCACUUAAUUCUAAUAUCAGCGCAGAUUCUGAGGAUUUGGAAUUAAAUGAUGGAGAUAGUAAUUCUGAUGCCUUGUGGAACAAGAAAUCCUCAAUCGCAUUUGAAGGUAUGCUAAAUACUUCGGAUGAAGCUGGAGACAUAUUCAAAACUCAAGAUUGGAUCAGCAUGCAGUCUAUAGUUUUUUAUGUCCUCUAUACUGCUCUACGAAUUUAUUUACUAGCAAAGAAUCGAUUUUGCUCGAGGCUUGAAUUGGUUUGUUUUCCUUGAAUAUGUAUUUGUUAGUAUUUAAAGAGUAGUUUAGUAGAGAGAUUUGACCCUCUUAUUCGGCAUCAUAUUGAGUUCUCAACCGAAUUGUAAGUUCAUAACUAAUGAAUAUUCAUUUUUUCGUAUUCCAGCUUACCAUUAGUUAAUAGUAAUAUAAAGCCUUGUUAAUA